AACGAACGCUGGCGGCAGGCUUAACACAUGCAAGUCGAACGAGAUCUUCGGAUCUAGUGGCAGACGGGUGAGGAACACGUGGGAACAUCCCUUUCAGUUCGGAAUAACGUUGGGAAACUAACGCUAAUACCGGAUACGUCCUUCGGGAGAAAGAUUUAUCGCUGAAAGAUUGGCCCGCGUCUGAUUAGCUAGUUGGUGAGGUAACGGCUCACCAAGGCUACGAUCAGUAGCUGAUCUGAGAGGAUGAUCAGCCACAUUGGGACUGGGACACGGCCCAAACUCCUCCGGGAGGCAGCAGUGGGGAAUAUUGGACAAUGGGCGCAAGCCUGAUCCAGCCAUGCCGCGUGAGUGAUGACGGCCUUCGGGUUGUAAAGCUCCUUUGUCCGGGAAGAUAAUGACUGUACCGGAAGAAUAAGCCCCGGCAAACUUCGUGCCAGCCGCCGCAGUAA
rnacentral:rRNA from 1 species